UACGUAGGUGGCAAGCGUUGUCCGGAUUUAUUGGGCGUAAAGCGCGCGCAGGUGGUGCGGUAAGUCUGCCGUGAAAUCUCCCGGCUCAACUGGGAGGGGGCGGUGGAGACUGCCGGACUGGAGGGACUCAGAGGCCGGUGGAAUUCCCGGUGUAGUGGUGAAAUGCGUAGAGAUCGGGAGGAACACCAGUGGCGAAGGCGGCCGGCUGGGGGUGCCCUGACGGCUGAGGCGCGAAAGCGUGGGGAGCGAACCGG
rnacentral:rRNA from 1 species